AAUUCUCAACCUAACCGGGUUUUGUAACAAAGCUUGGUUCAGGCUUGGAUUAUGGGAGGUUGCUGGCUUUUCUAUAGUUCAGCUCUUCUAAAAUGUAUUAUGGAGAUUUCAUCAUUGAAUCACAUUGAUAUGAUAAUUAUCUAUAUCAUUGCUGGUUAAAAUUGUUACAAGCUCCUAUUAAAAAGUCUUUGUGUCCCAACGACACAUUUCAUUUGAAAC
rnacentral:misc_RNA from 1 species